rnacentral:tRNA from 1 species
GGGCCCGUAGUCUAGCGGUAUGAUGCCCGCCUUACAUGGCGCACCCGCAACAGCCUAAGAGCGCGGGUGGUCCCGGGUUCGAAUCCCGGCGGGCCCA